UACGGAGGAUGCAAGCGUUAUCCGGAAUUAUUGGGCGUAAAGCGUCCGCAGGUGGCACUUCAAGACUGCUGUCAAAGACCGGGGCUUAACCCUGGAAAGGCAGUGGAAACUGAAGCGCUAGAGUGUGGCAGGGGUAGAGGGAAUUCCCGGUGUAGCGGUGAAAUGCGUAGAGAUCGGGAAGAACAUCGGUGGCGAAAGCGCUCUACUGGGCCUGCACUGACGCUCAUGCACGAAAGCGUGGGGAGCAAACAGG
rnacentral:rRNA from 1 species